GGAAAGGGAAGGCUGCUUUGAUCUUUGAAAAUUAUGACUAUAAAUAAUGCCUAUUCAAAUAUUGGCUCAACAGUGAUUGCUUUUGAGUUGUUUUUAGAAUCUUUCUAAAGCCCUCUUUCCUCCUUUGGAUGUGUUAGAUGCUGAUCAAAUUCAAAUUCCCACAUCAUAUGUAUAUAUCUGAAGUAUAUUUGACAAACAGAUGCUGUACUGUAUCUCAGCACUCCUCUGCAACCUUCCCACAGAACAGACUUCUAAAGGAAACAUUUGGCCAGAGGACAAGGCCCAGCAAACAUGCAUUCUUUUUACUACUAUUCCAGUAUAACUCCUGAAACUCAUGGCACUAAAAAAUACUUACCAUGUAAAUAUUGACUGACUGGACAAUGAAAGUGAAGAAUGAAAUGGUAUUAUUCAACAAAAGGAUAUUAGUAACUACAAUAUGCUUCUUAGACAGGUAAGCUUGAUCAGUUAUAACCAUUUGCAAACACUGAAAGGAAUUGCAUGAGUAUAUUGGUAUCUCUGAGAAUAAUUUGGUGAUAUAAAAACCCAGCAAAACAAUAAAUCGAUAGAAAAACUUACAGGAUG
rnacentral:lncRNA from 1 species